rnacentral:rRNA from 1 species
AGUGGCGACCGGGUGAGUAACACGUGACUAACCUGCCUGAGUGGGGGAUAACCUCGGGAAACCGGGGCUAAUACCGCAUAACAUCGCAAGAUCAAAGGAGCAAUCCGCUGAAGGAGGGGGUCGCGGCUGAUUAGUUAGUUGGUGAGGUAACGGCUCACCAAGACGAAGAUCAGUAGCCGGCCUGAGAGGGCGCACGGCCACACUGGAACUGAAACACGGUCCAGACUCCUACGGGAGGCAGCAGUGGGGAAUUUUGCGCAAUGGGGGAAACCCUGACGCAGCAACGCCGCGUGGAGGAUGAAGUCCCUUGGGAUGUAAACUCCUUUCGAUCGGGACGAUAAUGACGGUACCGGAAGAAGAAGCACCGGCUAACUCUGUGCCAGCAGCCGCGGUAAUACAGAGGGUGCGAGCGUUGUUCGGAAUUAUUGGGCGUAAAGGGCGUGUAGGCGGUGCGGUAAGACUGUGGUGAAAUCUCCGGGCUCAACUCGGAAAUUGCCGCGGU